UACGUAGGGGGCAAGCGUUGUCCGGAAUCAUUGGGCGUAAAGCGCGCGUAGGCGGCCCGGUAAGUCCGCUCUGAAAGUCCAGGGCUUAACCCUGGAAAGCGGGUGGAUACUGCCGGGCUUGAAUCCGGAAGAGGCGAGUGGAAUUCUUGGUGUAGCGGUGGAAUGCGCAGAUAUCAGGAGGAACACCAAUAGCGAAGGCAGCUCGCUGGGACGGUAUUGACGCUAAGGCGCGAAAGCGUGGGGAGCAAACAGG
rnacentral:rRNA from 1 species